CCUACGGGAGGCAGCAGUGGGGAAUUUUGCACAAUGGGGGAAACCCUGAUGCAGCGACGCCGCGUGAGUGAAGAAGUAUUUCGGUAUGUAAAGCUCUAUUAGCAGGGAAGAAAAUGACGGUACGUGACUAAGAAGCCACGGCUAACUACGUGCCAGCAGCCGCGGUAAUACGUAGGGGGCAAGCGUUAUCCGGAUUUACUGGGGGUAAAGGGAGCGUAGGCAGUAGCACAGGUCUGGAGUGAAAUGCGGGGGCUUAACCUCGGAACUGCUUCGGAAACUGUGCAGCUAGAGUGCAGGAGAGGUAAGUGGAAUUCCUGGUGUAGCGGUGAAAUGCGUAGAUAUAAGGAAGAACACCAGUGGCGAAGGCGGCUGACUGGACUGUAACUGACGUUGAGGCUCGAAAGCGUGGGGAGCAAACAGGAUUAGAUACCCGGGUAGUC
rnacentral:rRNA from 1 species